rnacentral:rRNA from 1 species
CGCCUUGCCAGCCCGCUCAGAACUUAAAGGAAUUGACGGGGCCGCACAAGCGGUGGAGCACGUGGUUUAAUUCGAUGCAACGCGAAGAACCUUACCUGGUCUUGACAUCCCGGAGACCCUUAGGAAACUAGGGGGUGCUUCCAUCUGGAAGAAUCUGGAGACAGGUGCUGCAUGGCUGUCGUCAGCUCGUGUCGUGAGAUGUUGGGUUAAGUCCCGCAACGAGCGCAACCCUUGCCUUUAGUUGCCAGCAGUUCGGCUGGGCACUCUAAAGGGACUGCCGGUGUUAAACCGGAGGAAGGUGGGGAUGACGUCAAGUCCUCAUGGCCUUUAUGACCAGGGCUACACACGUACUACAAUGGCCGAUACAAAGGGCAGCGACACUGCGAGGUGAAGCCAAUCCCGUAAAAUCGGUCUCAGUCCGGAUUGGAGUCUGCAACUCGACUCCAUGAAGUUGGAAUCGCUAGUAAUCGUGGAUCAGCAUGCCACGGUGAAUACGUUCCCGGGCCUU